GACGAACGCUGGCGGCGUGCCUAAUACAUGCAAGUCGAACGCAGUGGGGACGGGUGCGUAACACGUGGGUAACCUCCCAUCAGAGGGGAUAACCCUUGGAAACAGGUGCUAAACCGAUACUGAUGGAUGGACACGCGGUGGCUUAGCUCGUUGGUGAGGUAACGGCUCACCAAGGCCACGAUGCAUAGCGGACCUGAGAGGGUGAUGGGCCACCCUGGGACUGAGAUACGGCCGAGACUCCUACGGGAAGCAGCGUUAGGGAAUCUUGGGCAAUGGACGCAAGUCUGACCGCGCAAUGCCGCGUGCGUGAAGAAGUUGUUCGGAUCGUAAAACUCUUUUGUUGGUGAAGCGGUAUCUACCCAGAAAGCCACGGCUAACUACGUGCCAGCCGCCGCGGUAAUUC
rnacentral:rRNA from 1 species